CGUACACUCCUACGGGAGGCAGCAGUGAGGAAUAUUGGACAAUGGGUGGAAGCCUGAUCCAGCCAUCCCGCGUGCAGGAAGACGGCCCUAUGGGUUGUAAACUGCUUUUAUCUGGGGAUAAACCUACUUACGUGUAAGUAGCUGAAGGUACCAGAAGAAUAAGCACCGGCUAACUCCGUGCCAGCGGCCGCGGUAAUACGGAGGGUGCAAGCGUUAUCCGGAUUUAUUGGGUUUAAAGGGUCCGUAGGCGGACUGAUAAGUCAGUGGUGAAAUCCGACAGCUUAACUGUCGAACUGCCAUUGAUUCUGUUAGUCUUGAGUAAGGUUGAAGUGGCUGGAAUAAGUAGUGUAGCGGUGAAAUGCAUAGAUAUUACUUAGAACACCAAUUGCGAAGGCAGGUCACUAAGUCUUAACUGACGCUGAUGGACGAAAGCGUGGGGAGCGAACAGGAUUAGAUACCCCAGUAGUCCCAUG
rnacentral:rRNA from 1 species